rnacentral:rRNA from 1 species
UACAGAGGUCUCAAGCGUUGUUCGGAUUCAUUGGGCGUAAAGGGCGCGUAGGCGGCGAGGUAAGUCGGGUGUGAAAUCUCAGAGCUCAACUCUGAAACUGCACUCGAUACUGCUUUGCUAGAGGACUGGAGAGGAGAUUGGAAUUCACGGUGUAGCAGUGAAAUGCGUAGAGAUCGAUGAGGAAGACCAGUGGCGAAGGCGGAUCUCUGGACAGUUCCUGACGCUGAGGCGCGAAGGCCAGGGGAGCAAACGGG